rnacentral:rRNA from 1 species
UUGGAGGGCAAGUCUGGUGCCAGCAGCCGCGGUAAUUCCAGCUCCAAUAGCGUAUAUUAAAGUUGUUGCAGUUAAAAAGCUCGUAGUUGAAUUUCGGGGUUCUACCGUUGGUCGGGCUUUGUCUGUACUGGUGUGUAGAAUUUCUACCUUCUGGGGAACCAUCAUGCUAUUAAUUUAGCGUGGCGGGAAACCAGGACCUUUACCUUGAAAAAAUUAGUGUGUUCAAAGCAGGCUUAUGUCUGAAUACAUUAGCGUGGAAUAAUAGAAUAGGACGGUGGUCCUGUUUUGUUGGUUUCUGAAUCACCGUAAUGAUUAAUAGGGAUAGUUGGGGGCAUUAGUAUUCAAUUGUCAGAGGUGAAAUUCUUGGAUUUAUUGAAGACUAACUUCUGCGAAAGCAUUUGCCAAGGAUGUUUUCAUUAAUCAAGAACGAAAGUUAGGGGAUCGAGGACGAUCAGAUACCGUCGUAGUCUUAACCAUAAACUAUGCCGACUAGGGAUCGGACGAUGUUAAUUUUUCUUGACUCGUUCGGCGCCUUACGGGAAAC